UCUCGAGUUCCCAUCGCUACAGCCCAGACGUGCUCGCGUGACUUCUGAUACUUCGAGACCGCUGAACUCUCCCUAGUCGCCAAUCGAACAGUCUAUUUCAGGGAUGGGCAUCGGGGUAGUAUCUCGGAAUAAUAUAUCGCGAGCUGUACGAUAAAUAACAGAGAGUGACGACGCGGUGUACCGUUUUAGGCAACAGAUACAACAGGACUGUUCGAUCACCUUGAUAUUGAUAAAAAAAUGACAAAAAGAAGUGCUCCAGACCUUAAUAUGCUAAACACAUAGUGAGAAAAAGAUUAGAUCUAUAAUUGGUAUAUAAUUUCGAUCCAUGAUGUAAUCAACUACUAAUUUUAUUUUUAAUUUUAUUCAUACAUUCUUAAUCUUAUAUAAGUAUUAUAAAUAUUGUCGCAGAAGUAUCAAGGUGAUCAAACAGUAUGUGCCGACUUCGUGUCGUGUCAUCGUCCUGGUUUGCUUGAAUUACAAUGAGACUUGUUACUUCAAAAGACUGUCCCGAUGCUCGUCCCUGUCUUGUACUCUCUUUCAAUAUUUCACCCUUUGCGAACACGGCAAUACACGUGGGUGUACCGGUACUGUUAUGUUAAUAUACCUCCACGCUUUGCAGAACAGUAGAAGAGACGCAUUUUGUUUCAGUGUUGCUCAACUUUUCUCGAACAGGAUGCAACUUACAGAUAAUCCUACCACGGUACUUUUAUCACAGGAAAACUUAACACCGUUAAAAAAUGAUGACCACUACCUUGUGGUAAAGUUUUCCUGCUUUCAAAACGCGUUAGCUUGCUAAGUAAAUAAAAAUGCUUAAUUGCGAAAUGCUGACAGAGACGGUGAAAAAAUUCGAGUCAAAUUGCAAGGGUAUCGAGUUUUUGCAAUUAUCCCCGCUUAAAUUGCAUUUUAAUGCACGAUACUCGUACGACGCGAAUAAAUGAAUAAUUAAUAAUUUUCUUCGUCGUCUGUCUUACUUGUUCGGUUGACUAUUGUUCAAUUAUGAUAAUGAAUAAUUUUCUACAAAGAAUAAUCUAUCGUGAACUUGAAAUAAUUUUUAUUCGUUAAAUUCAUGUUGCUUUUUAGGAAUUCGUAUGAAAAUCCAUUGCAAAAAUAUAAUAUAUGAAAAUUUUUAAGUUAAAAUAUGAUAUUUGUUUGAGAACCUCUGUCACAGAGGAUAUUGCCGUGUUUUCACCGACAACGCACACCAUUGUUUGCAUUUGAAACAACGCAUAUACGUUAACGCGCAUACCGUCACUAAGGUCGUCCAAAUUUACUAUUCGGGCGUGUAUCCAAUAGUGUAUUUAGUUUCUUAUUUUACCCACUUCCGGUUUUUCGUGGAGACGCGGUUCGUCCUACGCGAUUGUCAAGUUCAUUGGAAAGGAAUAUUACCUACGCAUCGCAUUCAAUCGGCCAAAAUGCAUAAGUAAUUUGACCCUCGAAAGAACUGCCUACAAGUAUGUAUGAUUAUUCAUUUUCACUUAAUUGUUCAAGCAGAUGCAUUAAUUAAUUUCUUUUCAGGGACGAAUUACACAAAAAAGGAAGUCGCAAUCGAAGGAUGAUAUAUAUUUGACGACACUGGCUCUACAACUUAUUAUUUGACAGUUAAAUAUUAUGCUCUUUUUCUUUAGUGCAGCUAAACCUUGGGAAUUUUACGUUCGUGGUAUUUCGCGAGACUUCCUUGCAUUUUUACAAGCAUUACCUUUAGGAAGAUAUUGCAAUACGUGCCUUAUCACACAAAAUAAAUUAGAAAUAUUUAUGAGCACGAUAAUGUAUCAUGAAACAGCAAUGUAUUUUCAAACAUACUACGUCUUUCAAGUCGUCGUUUUUAAAAAUAUUUUUUUCACUAAUUUGUACCUAUAAUUAUGUAAUUGAUAAAUAUUAUUAUUUAAACGUUAUAUUAAUUUCGGAGUACUGCAAUUAAGAUUACUCCUUUCAGUUUUACAAUGAUAUUUAUCCGUUUCAUUUAUGAAUGAUAGAUAAAAUUGUGAAAUCAUGAAGCGAUAUCACAUAUUCUCAUUUCAUCUAUAAGCGAAGAUAUCUGAAGAUUCUUCAUUCUUCUUUCAAAACUACCAAGUGUCAAUGGCGGCAAAGUUUAUUUAAAGAAACUAGCAAAAUUUUCCAUUCAGUGACGAAACAUCCAAUUGAACGUCCAUCCAGUUCCUCGUAUUUCAAUGAAAUUAUACAUCUAGAUACCAAGUAUACACGCACAUGGCCGGGUGAAUCAUCUGGCGCCGUGGAAGAUUUAUGUAGGCGCUUACCUAACUUUGCCACAGCACGCAAGUAUUGAUGCGGUAACCGCUUGUCUGAUUCGAUAUCGCAAGGGUCACAGCUGACCGGUGAAUUAAAAAUCAUAAUUUUUCUUCACUUUUUGAUAUCUGAAGAAAUUCGUGAUAAUAUUGAUAGAUGGUCCACGGAGUAGAGAUUCAAGAAAAUGAAAUUUCUUUCUAAAAUUUUAUACGAUUUACAUUUAAAGUAAUUUCACUUUUAAAAAAUAAUCACCAUCUAUCUCUGUCAUGACCCCAAGUGAAAUGCAAGGGUCACCGAUGACUCACAACGGAAGGCAAACUUUCUUCCGAAAGAAGCAUCCUCUUCCGCUUCGCGUUGAAACGAUACAAAAAUAUACAAAGAAUAAAACUGUGUACCUGGUUACAAAGAUUUUUCCGGAAAUUUUCGCACAAUAGUAGGAAUGUUAAGUGCGAUAUCUAACAAUGAAGAAACAUAUGCACGAAUGCUCCGAAUGAAAAAGAAGUGGAUGAGGCUCUUUCGGAGCAUUUUGAAGGACAAAAACCAUUCGUGGAACGUUUAAAUGACCGUAGACAAGAACUCGUGACAUGCUGUGAAUGCUAUAGAGGAGAAGUCAGGCAUAGUCUCGACAGAUGUGCGCCUUAUUGUUCGUUCAGUAAAGAAACAGACGAGUUUCAAACGCUGCAAAUGGCCAAAGUUAGCGUCGUGCUCAGGAAACGAUAAACAUAAAACGUGCUCCAAACGUCGAUACACCACAUAUUUUUCGCAUAAAAUUUUUAUAGAGAAAAAUUUAAUAUCAUUACGUAGAAUUGAGAAAAAAAAAAAGAUUUCAUUGAACUGGAUUUUUCAAAUAAAGUACACGUGUACUCGACCCACUUUCCGAAGCAAAAAGAAUUCAAACAUGACUGAAACACAAUGUUUGUUGAACACAACCACGACUCUUAAACCGCUAAUCCAUUAAAGCGUAUCUCAAUCCGGGAUGGUUUUCAAGGAGUCGUAUUUUUACGAGCAAAGAUUUUCUGAACAAUGACCAGGGAGACAAUGGGAACUCCUCGAAUUUAGGUGAAGAUAUUUCUGACCACAACCAUUUACCAUUUUGGACGGAUUCCAAUGCUAUCAUUUUAUCUUUCGUUUCAUAAACUCAAGGUUUAUUAAAUUACGUUUUCAUUCAGUUACCAUGAAAGGAUUGAAUGUAGCUAAAAAUCUGAAGUUCAUUUUAAGAAUUACCAUUUUAGAAUUGGUAAUUAUUCAAAAUUCUAGCUAAACGAGUCGAUAAUUGGAAUUCAAAUCCGGUCUAUUCUGUUAUGCAAACCCUCUUAAUGAUUCUAAACGACUGUUCUGAACUCGAAACCCUUUGUUUCCAAACGAUCCGGUCCACCAAUUAAGUUAAUUCUCUCUUCACGAAUGCUAAUACGAAAAUGGCUACGCUUCACCGUUCCCACCGACCCAGCGAGUCCUCGACGAGCAAAAAUCAGACACGUGUACAGGAAAACGAGUUCGUAGAGUCUUCUACGAAUUGCGAGGACAAGCGAUACCUGAAGAAAUAUUCAACCACAACUUGUUCUUUCCAUAAAUCUCAAAAUUCCAUCCCUUUUAAAACACCCUGUACUUGGAUCAAGCUGAUGAACAUAUUUUACAGUACACUCAGCUACCAUAUCCACGUAACAUUAUUCCCGCAAUAUCCUUUUAUCUGCACGAGUUACCGUGCAGCUCGACCGCGGAUGAAUUCCAGCUAAGAAGGUCUCCAAGACAAGGACGUUACACUGGAAACCGCUCGUUGCUCGUCUGAAGCGGAAACAAGCGGUUUCGCGUGUGUACAGAAACGUCUGUCGGUGUCUGGUAAUUAAGUUUACGGAAGGUAGAUGCGGAAAACGUUGGUUGGUCAAAGUAUCGCGGUCUCCGGAAGUCGUGCGAAGAGAACCAGGACGAAAGGAGUCCCGGAUGGAGGGGAACGGUGACGGUGAGGUUAGGAAGGCGAAAUAGCAUGGAAAGGGGACCGUGGGAGAAAGAGGGGAGGAAGGAAGUGAGAAGGGGGGAUGAAGCAAGAAAGAAGGCGAAACCAAGCUGUAUGGAGGGAGAGGAAAGGUGUUCGACGAGGAAAUUUCCAUGACGUAUAGGGUACACCGCGGCAUAGUCGGCGAGAUUCGAAGGCACGCGUCGUUCCGGGCCAACAAUUGACCGAACUUGUACCCGUUUCCAAAUUCAAACCACGGGGAAACUAGUUUUGGUUACGAAACAAAAGGUCGACGUCUCGAUGAACCCCACCGGUUUCGGAAUCCUCGGGUUUCUUUUAAGUUUCUGCGACGGCAACGAGGAAACGGAGGGGAGAAACGGAAUGAAUAACGAGGGAACUCGUAGAGAGCGUGGAAAGAGUCCCACUGAAAGUCUGAAAGGCUCUUUUGCGAAUGUCGGUUUCUCCGAAAUCCCGGCGCAGGAGAAAUCAUCCUUUCCGACAGAGGGCCCCUUUGUCCCGGCAACCCGGGACUCGGAUAAUCCGCUGUUACACCUAGGGUUCCUUUUCUCUACCCAAUAUUUUGGGCGAAUUUCAAUUUUAAAAGGUUAUUUAUAGAUAUAUAUUUCUUUUUAACGGGGCAAUAUGGGUGUCAAGGAAAAGCUCACAUAACAGCAACACAUUCUGUGCUGUCAUCGAUAAGUUUAUAAACUGCCUGAAGUGGCUGGAGAAAAAUGAAAAUGAUACAAUUGAUCGUGAUUAGUUCUGAUAAAGAAUGAUCGAAAUUGACUUUAAAUUAAGAUACAUCAAGUUUAUUAACACACUUGCAGCUACUGAUAUAGUAUCUACUACGUCUUUUUAUAUCUUUUAUGAUUUCAUUGUUGAUUUCCACCUCUUACGUUAAGUGAUUCGAGGUGUGAUGUUUGCAAACAAAACCGAUCAAUUUGAAAUUAUCAGUUGCACAGAUGUUAACGAAAGCAAUAUUUUUGAGAAAUUAUAUUAAGAUAAAGACACACAUUUGUUAUCAGACAUUAUUUUAAUACAGAAAUUAAAUUAAAGUAAAAGAUAAAGUUUCAAUGCAA